AAUUGCUCUAGUUUUCACAAACAAACAGGCCAUAAUCUUUUCAGUUUCUUUGGAAGUCCAAAUUCUUGGAGGACUGCGAAUAGUUCUGGAAGUCCAAUGUUUUAAUGAUUUUGGGGAAGUCUAUAAAUACUCACGCAUAUUAUUCACUUCUUCAAUCAGUAAACAUUUCAACUUUUGUGUUACUUUAAAUUGAUGCAAUUCAACUCUAAAGUGCAAUGCUUAAGA
rnacentral:misc_RNA from 1 species